rnacentral:rRNA from 1 species
UACGUAGGCAGCAAGCGUUGUUCGGAGUUACUGGGCGUAAAGGGUGUGUAGGCGGUUGUUUAAGUUUGGUGUGAAAUCUCCCGGCUCAACUGGGAGGGUGCGCCGAAUACUGAAUGACUAGAGUGCGGGAGAGGAAAGUGGAAUUCCUGGUGUAGCGGUGAAAUGCGUAGAUAUCAGGAGGAACACCUGUGGCGAAAGCGGCUCACUGGACCACAACUGACGCUGAUGCACGAAAGCUAGGGGAGCAAACAGG